GAUGAACGCUGGCGGCGUGCCUAACACAUGCAAGUCGAGCGGCAGCGAGGGGUGCUUGCACCCUGUCGGCGAGCGGCGGACGGCUGAGUAACGCGUGGGAACGUGCCCCAAAGUGAGGAAUAACUGCCCGAAAGGGUAGCUAAUACCGCAUAUUAUCUUCGGAUCAAAGGAUUUAUCCGCUUUGGGAGCGGCUCGCGUCGGAUUAGGUAGUUGGUGAGGUAAUGGCUCACCAAGCCGACGAUCCGUAGCUGGUCUGAGAGGAUGACCAGCCAGACUGGAACUGAGACACGGUCCAGACUCCUACGGGGGCAGCAGUGAGGAAUCUUCCACAAUGGGCGAAAGCCUGAUGGAGCAACGCCGCGUGCAGGACGAAGGCCUUCGGGUUGUAAACUGCUUUUAUAAGUGAGGAAUAUGACGGUAACUUAUGAAUAAGGAUCGGCUAACUACGUG
rnacentral:rRNA from 1 species